GUAUAGGUGCCAGAUUAUAUGGGUUGGUUUUAAGCAUCAAAUAUGGGGUUUUCCCCCUAUAUGGU
rnacentral:tRNA from 1 species